CUGUAGGGAUGAUGACAGUAAAAGGCCGAAUUGCAGUGCUGCUGCCAGCAGUUGGUUCUCGGCAAGGGCACAAUGACAGGACCCCUUGAAGCGAAGCUGUCUGACCUCAAG